UGUACCACGUUGAAACAGCAAAUCAACAAGGUGUGUAUAUGGAUGCUUUUCCACUCGAACUACAAAGUCAAUGGACCCUAAUGUUCCAACUUCCUCCUUACAUUAAUCUACAACAUACAAGAAGUCAUGAAACUGUAUUGUUGCCAAAUUCAUAAUUCUUCUAGUUUUGCCAAAAUGUUAUAUCAUCCCUAGCCACUGCAACAUUGUUCUUUUCUACACAAAUGUCUACUAAAGAUUGCAUCAAAAACAACAUACAUUUUCAACAAGAGAAGAGCCUCUAAUCACUACUAUUCACAUCCAUCCGACCAAUACCGAGAAUCAAAGCAAGCCGCGCUGACGAAAACGAAGAAAAAAAGAACUGGAUAUACCUUUUGGACCGGUUCUGGAGGAUUUUAUCCCAUCAGCGAUGU